rnacentral:lncRNA from 1 species
UUUGACGGUGGGAGCUCAUAGCCAAAAGAAACACAACUAGCACUCAACUCAACAUCUAAUCCAACAUGAGCACACUCUCUUAUUACACUCUAGCUUCUCUAGGCCUAUCUCAACUCCUUUUGCCCUUAUACUCAUCAUCAAACAUCCACACAUUCAAAUCAACCAACUCUCACAUUCAUUAAGCAUAAAACAUUAAGUGAAUUCUUGCAAAUGGUCAAUUGGUCCAAAUCAUUUGGUUUAGUAAGGGAAGAUUUUUAUUCAAGUGGGUCAAGAGGUUCAAAAUCCAUGAUCUUUUAAAGUGGUUUACUCUCAAAACAAGUAGCCUUGACAUUGCACAAAUAUAUCUAAGAAAUGAACCAACUCAUGCAUACAAUGCUCAAUCUCCAUUGUUUUACCCUUUUCCCAAACAUACAAGUUACACAAUCACUUCCCAAUGUCAAACCCAACUCCCAUCUCUCACCAAAAGAUCCUAAGAACACUUUGCACAUAAAACUCUUUUUCUUUGAAAUCUAUAAAGGAUUUUCUCAACUUCUAAACAAAUCUUAGCUCUAAACAACUUUGCUAGCCUCCCUUUUCUUUCUUUUUCUCUUUUUUUUAUAUAUAUAUUUUUUUUUUCUUUUUCUCUUUUAUAUCCCUUUUUUUUUCGGGGGUCAAGACUUUUCAUAAACUCGAGCUAGACGUUUAUCUAUUAAU